CCUCCGCAGCCUCAGCCUUAUCCCAUAGAUACCCCAGCCCCUCGCCUUCCGGGAGGGGGAUUUGAGGUUUGCUCUCCCGUCUUCUCCCUUGGCGGCUCGUGAAUAAGCCCUCUCUCUGCUGCAAACCUGGCGUCUCAGCGCACGUGGGUGACUGUCACUUACUGUGUCUUUGCAGACACGCGCCUCCAUCAACAGGGCUGUGUGGGGCUGGGCUGCGGGGCUACGCCUGGCUCCCGAGCCCGGUGUGCUUCACGCCAGCUCUGUGGUCUGGGAGAGUCUCAGCCUGCCUCUGCCUCAGUUUGCUCGUCUGUAAAGUGGGGAGAAUGAAGCGUGAGGCUUGAGCGCGGCCGGCGUUGAUCGAGGGCUGCUGGGAGCCGGCUUCCUCAGGCGCAGGGGUGGCCUGAAGCCCCUGCGCUGCCCCCGGAGUCGGAGGGCUUCCGUGUCGGGACGCGGCCUGUAGCCCUGACACGGGCCUCCCCGCGCUGGUCUCCUCAGGCUCAGCAAACACACCUGGUCGGAAGCGAACAACGUCGCCGCAUCUUCCGUGAACUUACGUCGUGCUUCCGCCUCUGCAGGGCAGAUGAGAAAACUGACGUCCAGAGCUGGGGAAACUUGCUGAGACCGCACAGAUCCCUCGAGCUGCAAACUUGCCUCCCUACCUGGAUGCCCUGAGCUCCCACGGUCUGCGGCGGCUGUUGUGCUGUGUUUCCCCCAUCAGACGGCGUUUCCUGGAGGGCAGCCAGCACAGGACAGAGUGGCCCGUCAAGGUGCAGGGAAGCAGUAUGCAGGUCACUGAAUUUGGAAAGUUACGGAUCUGGGGUCACUGCAGCCUGUCCCCUCCCGUGAGGAGCCGGAGCGCGUGAAACCAAGCAGGGACAAGCAGAGGUUCGGGAUGGAUGGACAGUGCUGGUGGCACGGGAUUUAAAGUCUGCUCCCUGCAGCAUGUGGAGGCCACGUGUCUGAGGCACAUCUCAAAGACUCAUCACAGAGCCCGCCCCGGGCUUCUGGUCAGGAGCAGACAAUGAAACCCAAACCGCAGUGUGCUCCAAGCACUGUUAGGGUGACGUAGCAGGGGGAUAAAAGGUCCGGUAAUCCCCCAUCGGUCCCGGCCGGACCCUGAGGACUCAGGAGGAAACACAGUCACCUGACAUCCCCCUCCUCAGCCUGUACGCAGUGGGAUCCUUUGCUGAACUGGGCUCCUGGGGGUCCGUGACUGUGAACGUGACCAGAUGAGGAAAAGGAGGCUCACAGAAGCAAAAAUGACUGAGACAUGGGCUCCCCUGGUGGCACAGUGGUUAAGAAUCCACCUGCCAACGCAGGGGACACGGGUUUGAGCCCUGGUCCGGGAAGAUCCCACAUGCCGUGGAGCGGCUGGGCCUGUGCGCCACAACUACUGAGCCUGCACUCUAGAGCCCGCAAGCCACAACUACUGAGCCCAUGUCCCACAACUGCUGAAGCCUGUGCGUCUAGAGCCCAUGCUCCGCAACAAGAGAAGCCACUGCAAUGAGAAGCCCGUGCACCGCAACAAAGGGUAGCCCCCGCUCGCCGCAACUAGAGAAAGCCCGCACGCAGCAACGAAGACCCAACGCAGCCAGAAACAGUAAAUAAAUAAAUAACUUUAUUUAAAAAAAAAUGACUGAGGCAGGUCAGAGCCCAGAGCUGCCUGCUCAGCCUGCACCUCCCUGCCCCCACAUCACUGAACACACAUGUCCAGGGCAACAGGGCUCCACCCCACUUCACAGAUGAGGUAACUGAGGCACAGGGGGAGGGGCCCGCUCAAGGUCCCACCGUAAAGAUCUGGAAGAGCUGGGAUUCAAGCCCAGGUCGGGCCGGGCCUCCCGAGCUCGGCCCUCCACCCACCGAGCCCCCCUCUGCAUCUCAACGGCCCGGGUGGGCCUGCAGCAGGUGCUGGGCCAGCAGUGUCCCUUUGUGAGCCCGGGGUAUUGUCCCCUGGACAAAGGCCUCAAUUCCCACUAGCGGCCACCCACACGCUCACUUCUAAGGAUAAAGGAAUCCGCAGCCAGCCGCCCCCCAGCUCCAGAUGGCGGC